rnacentral:rRNA from 1 species
AUUGAACGCUGGCGGCAGGCCUAACACAUGCAAGUCGAGCGAGCGGCGGACGGGUGAGUAAUGUCUGGGAAACUGCCUGAUGGAGGGGGAUAACUACUGGAAACGGUAGCUAAUACCGCAUACCAUCAGAUGUGCCCAGAUGGGAUUAGCUUGUAGGUGGGGUAACGGCUCACCUAGGCGACGAUCCCUCGAUGGUCUGAGAGGAUGACCAGCCACACUGGAACGGAGACACGGUCCAGACUCCUGAGGGAGGCAGCAGUGGGGAAUAGUGCACAAGGGGGGCGAGGCUGAUGCAGCCAUGCCGCGUGUAGGAUGAAGGCCUUCGGGGUGUAAAGUACUUUCAGCGGGGAGGCGUUACCCGCAGAAGAAGCACCGGCUAACUCCGUGCCAGCAGCCGCGGUAAUAC